rnacentral:rRNA from 1 species
CAGUAGCCGCGGGAAUACGGAGGGUGCAAGCGUUAAUCGGAAUUACUGGGCGUAAAGCGCACGCAGGCGGUCUGUCAAGUCAGAUGUGAAAUCCCCGGGCUUAACCUGGGAACUGCAUUUGAAACUGGCGGGCUAGAGUCUUGUAGAGGGGGGUAGAAUUCCAGGUGUAGUGGUGAAAUGCGUAGAGAUCUGGAGGAAUACCGGUGGCGAAGGCGGCCCCCUGGACAAAGACUGACGCUCAGGUGCGAAAGCGUGGGGAGCAAACAGGAUUAGAUACCCCAGUAGUCCCUGUCUCUUAUAA